UACAGAGGGUGCAAGCGUUAAUCGGAAUUAUUGGGCGUAAAGGGUGCGUAGGUGGUUUGAUAAGUUAGGUGUGAAAUUCCUGGGCUUAACCUGGGAACUGCGUCUAAUACUGUUAAGCUAGAGUACUGUAGAGGAAGGUGGAAUUUCCGGUGUAGCGGUGAAAUGCGUAGAUAUCGGAAGGAACAUCAGUGGCGAAGGCGACUUUCUGGACAGAUACUGACACUGAGGCACGAAAGCGUGGGGAGCAAACAGG
rnacentral:rRNA from 1 species